rnacentral:rRNA from 1 species
UUUAUGGAGAGUUUGAUCCUGGCUCAGGAUGAACGCUGGCGGCGUGCCUAAUACAUGCAAGUCGAGCGAACAGACGAGGAGCUUGCUCCUCUGACGUUAGCGGCGGACGGGUGAGUAACACGUGGAUAACCUACCUAUAAGACUGGGAUAACUUCGGGAAACCGGAGCUAAUACCGGAUAAUAUAUUGAACCGCAUGGUUCAAUAGUGAAAGACGGUUUUGCUGUCACUUAUAGAUGGAUCCGCGCCGCAUUAGCUAGUUGGUAAGGUAACGGCUUACCAAGGCA